rnacentral:tRNA from 1 species
CCCAUGGCGUAGUGGUCACUGCGCUCGCCUUGCACGCGGGAGACCCGGGUUCGAUUCCCAGUGGG